CUCUCUCUCUCCCCUCUCUCUCUCUCUCUCCCCCCCCCUUUUUUUUUUCCUCUUUGGUCUCAGUCAUGGGGACACCAUUGGGAAUGGAGGGAAGCCAGUGACUGCAUGCUCAAUGCUUUCUAAGUUGCGCACUGAUAUUCCAGGCCGGCUGUGCCUGAGCCAGUGUGGGCUUAAGUUCUUCACGGCCCCGGGGCCCUGGGAAGGUGGAGCCAGCUGCUUCUCCCCGAAUAACUGGGAGGUGAAACAAGAAGCUCUAUGACGCAGUUGAUCGAAAAUGACACAGACACAGAAAAGUCAGGACUCGGCCCCCUCCAGUGCCUCCACCUGCUGCCCACGGCCAGAGUGCAGAUGUGCCAAGUAAGGAGCAGAAAGCAAAAGGACUCAGCUGAAGUGUGCAGCCUCCAGCAGCUCUCCCAUCCUUUAUGAACUGGAUCUGGAAAGGAGACUCUCAGGAGGUUUCAGGUGUACAAUAUAAUGAAGAUUCAACAGCAUCCUGCUCCUCAAUCGGGUCAUGGUUUCAUAGAUUUGGUUCCUUUGUGAAAAUUUGUCGCGCUCUUAUGCAGAUCACUUGUGCACUUUUCUCCAUGUAUGUCUGACUUCGGCAAAGGGUUGACCUAAAACACUAUGUUGGAGUUUGCAGAGGUCAACACAGCCACAAAAACUUUGUUGCUUCACAAAGAGUAUUUUAUAUGAUGCCCCAAAACUUUGGAAACCAAGAUGCUGUUUUCUCACUCUGAGCCAAUAAACACACAAACUGAUAGAAAAGUCA